CAUAGGUUAAUGAGGCGAACCGGGGGAACUGAAACAUCUAAGUACCCCGAGGAAAAGAAAUCAACCGAGAUUCCCCCAGUAGCGGCGAGCGAACGGGGAGGAGCCCAGAGCCUGAAUCAGUGUGUGUGUUAGUGGAAGCGUCUGGAAAGGCGCGCGAUACAGGGUGACAGCCCCGUACACAAAAAUGCACAUAUUGUGAGCUCGAUGAGUAGGGCGGGACACGUGGUAUCCUGUCUGAAUAUGGGGGGACCAUCCUCCAAGGCUAAAUACUCCUGACUGACCGAUAGUGAACCAGUACCGUGAGGGAAAGGCGAAAAGAACCCCGGCGAGGGGAGUGAAAAAGAACCUGAAACCGUGUACGUACAAGCAGUGGGAGCCUCUUUAUGGGGUGACUGCGUACCUUUUGUAUAAUGGGUCAGCGACUUAUAUUCUGUAGCAAGGUUAACCGAAUAGGGGAGCCGAAGGGAAACCGAGUCUUAACUGGGCGUUAAGUUGCAGGGUAUAGACCCGAAACCCGGUGAUCUAGCCAUGGGCAGGUUGAAGGUUGGGUAACACUAACUGGAGGACCGAACCGACUAAUGUUGAAAAAUUAGCGGAUGACUUGUGGCUGGGGGUGAAAGGCCAAUCAAACCGGGAGAUAGCUGGUUCUCCCCGAAAGCUAUUUAGGUAGCGCCUCGUGAAUUCAUCUCCGGGGGUAGAGCACUGUUUCGGCAAGGGGGUCAUCCCGACUUACCAACCCGAUGCAAACUGCGAAUACCGGAGAAUGUUAUCACGGGAGACACACGGCGGGUGCUAACGUCCGUCGUGAAGAGGGAAACAACCCAGACCGCCAGCUAAGGUCCCAAAGUCAUGGUUAAGUGGGAAACGAUGUGGGAAGGCCCAGACAGCCAGGAUGUUGGCUUAGAAGCAGCCAUCAUUUAAAGAAAGCGUAAUAGCUCACUGGUCGAGUCGGCCUGCGCGGAAGAUGUAACGGGGCUAAACCAUGCACCGAAGCUGCGGCAGCGACACUAUGUGUUGUUGGGUAGGGGAGCGUUCUGUAAGCCUGUGAA
rnacentral:rRNA from 1 species